rnacentral:rRNA from 1 species
CCUGAGAAACCCAAAAGAUCGAAUGGGGAGAUUCAUCGUCAGCGGCUCUGGCUUCCGUGCGGUACGCGAUGACAGGGGAUUUCGGUCUCCCGUCACGCUACCGCUGCGGUAUGCCCGGAGUCGUCGGCGUGCACUUCUCCCCUAGUAGGACGUCGCGACCCGUUGGGUGUCGGAUCGAUGGCCGGUCGGUCGUCUGUUGCGCUCGCGCUUCAGACCGACUCGGUCGAAAGUCCGGCUGCCCGGCGGUAUUGAACGAUAUGACACGGUAUCGGGCCGCACUCGAAUGCGUUCAGGCCCGUCGGCAGGCUCGUCUCGCUCGGAUUUACGGACCUAGUGCCGUUGCCGGGCGCUUGGCGUGGCUGUUAGUCGACGGUGUCCUCGGACCGGCUCUUACCCGUCGGCGACGCUACUGCUUUGGGUACUUUC